rnacentral:rRNA from 1 species
UACGUAGGGUGCAAGCGUUGUCCGGAAUUAUUGGGCGUAAAGAGCUCGUAGGCGGUUCGUCGCGUCGGCUGUGAAAUCCCGAGGCUCAACCUCGGGUCUGCAGUCGAUACGGGCGGACUGGAGUUCGGCAGGGGAGACUGGAAUUCCUGGUGUAGCGGUGAAAUGCGCAGAUAUCAGGAGGAACACCGGUGGCGAAGGCGGGGUCUCUGGGCCGAUACUGACGCUGAGGAGCGAAAAGCGUGGGGGAGCGAAACAGG